AAACAUGUCUUUUUGAAUUGUAUUUAAAGUCUGACCUGCCCACUGAAUAAUUUUAAAUGGCCGCAGUAUUUUGACUGUGCAAAGGUAGCAUAAUCAUUAGUCUUUUAAUUGAAGGCUGGUAUGAACGGUUGGACGAAGUAUAAGCUGUUUCAUAUGAAUUUAUAAUAGAAUUUUAUAUUUUAGUUAAAAAGCUAAAAUUUUUUUAAAAGACGAGAAGACCCUAUAAAUCUUUAUAGUUAAUUUUAACUAAAUUUUUUUGAUUUAUUUUAUUUUUUUAACAUUAACUAUUUUGUUGGGGUGAUAUUAAAAUUUAAUGAACUUUUAAUUUUUUAAAAUCAUUAAUUUAUGAAUUAUUGAUCCAUUAAUAAUGAUUAUAAGAUUAAGUUACUUUAGGGAUAACAGCGUAAUUUUUUUUGAGAGUUCAUAUCGACAAAAAAGUUUGCGACCUCGAUGUUGGAUUAAGGUAUAAUUUUGGGUGUAGCCGUUCAAAAGUUAAGUCUGUUCGACUUUUAAAUCCUUACAUGAUC
rnacentral:rRNA from 1 species